UCGGGAAUUUUGGGCAAUGGGGGAAACCCUGACCCAGCAACGCCGCGUGAGUGAUGAAGUAUUUCGGUAUGUAAACUUCGAAAGAAUAGGAAGAAUAAAUGACGGUACUAUUUAUAAGGUCCGGCUAACUACGUGCCAGCAGCCGCGGUAAUACGUAGGGACCAAGCGUUGUUCGGAUUUACUGGGCGUAAAGGGCGCGUAGGCGGCAUGACAAGUCACUUGUGAAAUCUCUGGGCUUAACCCAGAACGGCCAAGUGAUACUGUCGCGCUAGAGUGCAGAAGGGGCAAUCGGAAUUCUUGGUGUAGCGGUGAAAUGCGUAGAUAUCAAGAGGAACACCUGAGGUGAAGACGGGUUGCUGGGCUGACACUGACGCUGAGGCGCGAAAGCCAGGGGAGCAAACGGGAUUAGAUACCCACGUAGUCCCUGAGCGGGCUGGCAAGGCGCAU
rnacentral:rRNA from 1 species